rnacentral:rRNA from 1 species
GGAGGGUGCAAGCGUUAUCCGGAUUCACUGGGUUUAAAGGGUGCGUAGGUGGGUAGGUAAGUCAGUGGUGAAAUCCCCGGGCUUAACUUGGGAACUGCCGUUGAUACUAUCUAUCUUGAAUAUCGUGGAGGUGAGCGGAAUAUGUCAUGUAGCGGUGAAAUGCUUAGAUAUGACAUAGAACACCUAUUGCGAAGGCAGCUCACUACACGGUAAUUGACGCUGAGGCACGAAAGCGUGGGGAGCAAACAGGAUUAGAUACCCUGGUAGUCCACGCCCUAAACGAUGAUCACUCGACAUCAGCGAUACACUGUUGGUGUCUGAGCAAAAGCAUUAAGUGAUCCACCUGGGAAGUACGAUCGCAAGAUUGAA